AGUGAACGCUGGCUGUAGGCCUAACACAUGCAAGUCGAACGUCAGCACAGUAAGAGCUUGCUCUUACGGGUGGCGAGUGGCGGACGGGUUAGGAAUCCAUCGGAAUCUACUUUUUCGUUGGGGAUAACGUUGGGAAACUUACGCUAAUACCGCAUACGACCUACGGGUGAAAGCCGGGGAUCUUCGGACCUUGCGCGAUUGAAUGAGCCGAUGUCGGAUUAGCUAGUUGGCGGGGUAAAGGCCCACCAAGGCGACGAUCCGUCGCUGGUCUGAGAGGAUGAUCAGGCACACUGGAACUGAGACACGGUCAAGACUCCUACGGGAGGCAGCAGUGGGGAAUAUUGGACAAUGGGCGCAAGCCUGAUCCAGACAUACCGCGUGGGUGAAGAAGGACUUCGGGUUGUAAAGACCUUUUGUUGGGAAAGAAAAGCAGCAGGUUAAUAACCCGCUGUUCUGACGGUACCCAAAGAAUAAGCACCGGCUAACUUCGUG
rnacentral:rRNA from 1 species